rnacentral:rRNA from 1 species
UGCCAGCAGCCGCGGUAAUACAGAGGGUGCAAGCGUUAAUCGGAAUUACUGGGCGUAAAGCGCGCGUAGGUGGUUUGUUAAGUCUGAUGUGAAAUCCCAGGGCUCAACCUUGGAAUUGCACCGGAUACUGGCAGGCUAGAGUACGAUAGAGGAGUGUGGAAUUUCCUGUGUAGCGGUGAAAUGCGUAGAUAUAGGAAGGAACAUCAGUGGCGAAGGCGACACUCUGGAUUGAUACUGACACUGAGGUGCGAAAGCGUGGGGAGCAAACAGGAUUAGAUA